CAACUACUGAGGCUAUUGCCACCGCCUUCCCAGUAACGCGGCUUACAGCCCGGAGGGGGGGACUUGCAGUUUCCAGGGGCAACAAGCGUCUCUCUACCACCUUCUCCUGCGCCUCAAAGAGGGCUGGUCCUGUGAGGCUGGGACGAAGAUGAUUCAAAGCUGAGCUGAAACUGCUGCAAGAACCAGUCUCCUUUGGGUCACUCUGUUAGGGUGACCUAGGUUCUCUUACCAAGUCCAAGACUACAACAUUUGUGAUUUUAUCUCCAUGAAACUGCUAAAAGUGCUGCAUAGCCCUUUGGCUGCCUCUUCCUGAAUUGGAAAGGUACAGUCUUGACAAGGAACAAAUGACGUCUGUAUAUGAAGAAAUGACAGAUGACCAUGUGUUAAGUGUCAGCCUUGAUGGAUUUACACAAGAAGGCCAAAGCAACUCAAGGAAGGGAGACACCCCUGGAAUCCUCAGGACCUUUUGGUGGAGGUGCUACCAACAGACAACCAAUUGAAAACUGAGCGAUGAGUGGUAGUCAAAGAACUCUUGAGCAAAUACGUAGUUUUCCAGUGAAUAAGGGUUCAUGAUGGGUGCAUGAUGAAAUGCUCUUUCUAAGCCAGGAUGUGACUCUACUUUUGGGUGGACUGAGGCAUUUGAAGUAAGUUGGGAGAUAGAAGACCUGAUUUCUGAACACAGUCUAUAUCCUGAACAGUUUCCUAGAAAUGACGGAACUGAUUAAUUUUUAUAAAGCACUCCAAGUGUCACACAGCAAGUUUUGAUGCUUCCAAGUGCCCAAAGAGGGAACCUGGCAGCAGGGGUUCCUGGGGAUCAUAUCUGGCACUGGCGAUGAUUGGCUCCACCAGUCAGUGAGGAAGGGGUCCUACUGACCACAGCCCCCCAACCAGCUUCAGUGAAAAGACGGAGACUGAGGUGAUGGAGCCCUGGUUCCUCAUGCACAGACAAUUAUGGUACUUAAUUUGGAACUGCAGGAAGCUUUGGUUCAUGCACUGAAAAGCUGACCUGGAAGUUAUGCUUAGAGAAGAAAAAGAGGGAAGAGCCUCUUAGGUAACUUGAAGAGCAUCAAGGAUCCAAUGAUAAAAACCACUGCCCUGAAGUGACGUGUGCUACUUUCAGCUGAGGAUUCAACUGCUGACAUGACACCCUCGAGAUCGCUCUUUUUCUCCUCUGCCAUCACAUCCCAAAAUUCUCCAGAGUGGAUGCUUCAUCAGCGUGGGUUUGGAGCUAAGAUGAUGAUGAUACUGAGAAGAGCCUGGGGCAGACUCACUAUGAAAAAUAAACUUUUAUUGUUUUAAGCCACUGAAGAAAACAGAAAACACUGCCCUGAACUUUCCAAGGUGUAAUAAAUCUCUCUGCAUAAGACUCUGCAGUCAUUGCCAAGGCAGAUCCUGAACUGAGAGCCACGUGGAAAGAGGACUGGAAUGGAAAUCAGAUUCGGGGUCCUGCUUGGGUUUCUUCCAGAUGACCCCACCCAUCAGCCAUCUGGUCUCAGAUUCCACAUAUGAGUGAGAUCAUAUGAUAUUCAUCAUUCUGUGUUUGACUUUCUGCAACAUGAAUUGACCUAGAGAUUAUCAUACUAAGUGAAGGGGAAUACAUGGCUUUCUCCUCACUUCUUUGCAUUUUUCCAGUGCCUUUGAAAGUACCACCAGAAUGAUGGCUGCAUUUUCAGUGGUGGAAAUUAUUGCUAUGUCUCAGAAGCAAGGAAUCACAGGAUAUCUACUUUCCAGUGGUGAUAUAUGACUCUCAUAAAUGAAAGCCACACCAUCAUUUAUAACACCCUAAUGAGUUUUUUUCAUAGAGACAGAACAGAGAUUCCUAAUGUUUCUUGGAACUUCCCAAAAAACAGGGCAAGAAAAAAAAAUUCAACUAAAUGCCUGUUUGUUAGCCCAGCAUUGGAAGGGAGCAGCCUUAAAGAAUAAUUGGUCGCUCCUAAGAAACCAUUAAUAUAACAAAAGCUGUCAAAAGAUAUGAAGGAAGAAAGGAUGGUACUUUUUGAUUAUGAGGUAUGAAUUUAUUUUUGCCUGAACACUUGACCACUGGGGAACUGUGCCUUCCUGUGAAAUGCAUGCUCCAGCCAUGCCAUUGGCUCUGGUGACCCACAGAGAGGGUAAUCCAAUUAUCCAGGUAAAGAAAUGUCUGAAAACAAAGAAUAAAUAGCAGUUAUAUUUUGGAAUUAAGCUCAUUCAUAAAACUGGUAGGUCACAUUCAUUUCAGAAGUACAUCAAUUAGAAUACUGUGUGAGGCUGUGAUUAAAACAUUCAUUCAUUUGUUCAUUCAACAAAUACUUAUUGAGAGCCUUCCAUGCGCUAGACACUGUCCUAGGUGCUGGGGGUGUAUUAAUAAGCAAAGACAAACAUGGUCCUUGCUGGUAAAUUUAACAACUGGUUUUCCAGAAACAAAAGCCCUGUCUUUUGAGUAUUUGCCAGUUUCAAGGUCUCCAUGUUCUGCACUACCUGGCACAGAGUCAGAACUCAAACAUGGCAACCAUCGUCAUCAUCUUUCUGUCUCGAUCAUAAUUCUCAUCAAUAUUGUGUAUGAUGAUUGUGCUUUAACAACAUACUAAAAAGAAACUCAUGAUCUACGGAGGUAAAUGUCCAAGACAUGUGUUUAGGAGUGUGUGAGUGUGUGCGUAUAAAGGUAAGGAAAAGCAGAGAAGGGUCUGAAAGGAUGCACACUGGAUUUGGUAUGGUUACCUCAAAAAGAUGUGGGAUUGAGUGGAAGUUAACUAUCAAAGUGGGACUUUUUUUCUUUUCUUUUACUAAAAAUCUGUAGUUUGAAUUUUCAUGAGUAUGGAUUAAUUUUAUAAUUUUUGAAGAAAAUUUGCACUGUCCAAGUUAAACAAGCAUAGCUCUCUCACAUGAUGGCAGUCCAACAGUGACCAAAUGCCUAGUAGAUAAAGGGCGGUUAUUAUGGGAGAGUCAGGUACCAUAAUAUAUGAAUCAUUGUAGAUGGAGUCAUCGUUAAAUGAUGGUUAGGUGGUUUUCCUGGUGAAAAGUGACUUCAGCUGUUGACAGAAGAUGAAAUAGAAUCAAGACACUUGACAAGUAUUCCAGUUGCUGUAGAACAAACCACUCCAAAACAGCAACUUAAAAUAAUGACAGUGUUUAUUUUGCUCACAGAUUUGCAGGUGGGGUGGGGUGGGGUGGGUGGGGACAUUUUGUCCAUUCUCUACUUGGCAUCAGGUGGGGUGACUGGCGGGCGGAAGGUGGAAUCAUCUGAAGGGCACUCACUCGCGUGUCUGGUGGUUGAUGCUGACUGUUGGCUGGGACCAACAUGGGGCCGUGGCUGCAACACCUACGUGUGGCCCUUCAUACGGCUGCUCAUCUUCCCCACAGUAUGGUGGCUGGGUUCCAAAGGUGGUCGCAAAGCAUUGCCCAGGUGCCGAGAGAGGAAAACUGGACUCUAUCUCUUGAUGGACUCAAGACAACCGUAAGACAUUUCGUUUUAGCUCAGUCAACAUUUUAUUCUUCAGAAAUUUGUUAAAGACUUGAAACGUUUUCCAGUCUGUUCUCUGCCACCACUACAGCUCCAAAGUAACAAAAGGAGCAAGGCUCCUCUAGCUGGAACUCAUGAGGUAAAUGAAGAACUACAAACAAUUUAUUAUGGUUAGAGGACAUGAAUGGGGCAUGCCUCAUAAAAGUGGAAAUUUUUGUAUAGAGCCACAAAGGAUACCUAAGAUUUCUACAGAUAGAGGAAACAGAAUAAACAAAGGCACAGAUGCUUGAACUUGCCUGGCACAUUCAAGGAUGUAGAAUCAAGGAAGUGUGGAAAGUGCAUGCGUGGAGGAUGGAUGACUUUCUUUGAUUUUGCCAAAAGGAGAGAAUGAGAACUUGAUAAAUAAGGCAGAAGAAGAAUUGCUUUGACUGGAGAUUUCGAAACCAUCUCUCCUCUUCCCCUGCAUUUUGAAUGGGGCUCCGUGAACAUCUGAAAGCUGGAAGUUAUUACAGAAGAUUGAGUAGAGUCCCCUGUGCUGUACAGCAGGUCCUUGUUGGUUUUCUACAUUAUAUACAGCAGUGUGUAUACGCUCUGCCCCUCUGUCUCCUGCAUACCCACUGCCACUGUCCAGACUUCCCGCAUCCUUCUCCAGGACACUUCAGUGGGGAGAAGAGAGGAUGGAGCAAUGUCCUCAAGCUGAUGGGAGGCCAAGUGUAUGGGUUGGAAGAGUUGACCAUGAGUACCUCUAAUCCUCCAAGACCAUAGGAAAAGAUCCAAGAAUGGGAGCAGAGGUAGGUAAACUUGGAGGUGGGAACACCACAGGAUGGUACAGUUCAAGCCAGACGGCUUCAGUUUUUGUUGAAGUAGGUUACAAAGUCACAUCUGCUGGUAGUAAGGACAUUGAGACUGGGGAAAGGGCUGAGGGAAAAUGGUAGCUUGGGAACAUCAGAGAAGUAAGUAGAAGGAGAAAUAUCACUGAUGGCAGGGGAGCGCAUUGGGUUUGAGAUGCCUCUGGUUUUCAUGGUUGUGAUUUUUUCCACCUGCAAGCAGAAGCCCAGGAACAGAGGCAGAAAAGAACAGCAAACAUUUAUUGAGCAUUUCCUAUGUACCUGAAACUUAUCUUAGCAUCUCUACAUAUUGUGGUAAGCAGAAUAAUGACCUUCUAGUAAUGGCCACAUCCUAAUCUCUGGAAUCUGUGAAUGUGCUACAUUAUAUGGCAAAGGGGAAUUAAGGUUACAGAUGGAAUGCAGGUUGCGGAUCAGCCAACUGCGAAACAGGGAGAUCAUCCUAGAUUAUAUGGGUUAUGUGGGCCCAAUAUAAUAAGGGUCCGAGAAGUAGAAGAUGGAAGCGCAAGAGAAGAUCAGAGUGAUAUGAAGUGAGAAGGACUUAACCUGCCAUUGCUGGUUUUGAAGAAGGAGGAAGGGGCCCUGAGUCAAGGAAUGUGGGUGGCCUCUAAAAUCUAGAACAGGCAAGGGAAUGGAUCCUACCCUCUAGCCUCUAAAAGGACUGCAGCCCUGCUGACAACUUGAUUUUAACCCCUGAGGCUCUGCCAGACUUCUGAUCUACAGAAAUGUAGAACAGUAAAUCGUAUUAUUGAAUUUUUAAAAUGUGUGGUAACUGGCUACAGCAGCAAUAUAAAACUAAAACCUAUAUAUGUUUUCUUUUAUCCUUCACAACAUUAUUUUAUAGUUGGGCUGUUUGGGGAGUUGAUCCUGGUUAUUGACCUGGAUGUCAUGAAGGAGGUGGAGACAAAUCUUAAGAAAGAAAUGUUUCCAACUUGCAAGGCGUCUGCCUCAAGGGAAGCCUUUGUAGUAUUUUUAGGCAAGGAAUAAUGGACCACUUCUGAAGGCCCAGAGGGUUCAAGGGAUUCUGAGAACCCAGAGUACUCAAUUCUUCCAUCUAGAUGUCCCCAUUCUAUGCCCCAGUAUCCCAUGCGUUCCCUAUCAAACCUUGACUUUGGCGUAUGAGAUUUGGUGGGGCUACAUAUUAUGGCUUCUCUGUAAUUUGUUUUUCACAGUCAGGUCCUGGGCCUGAUUUUCAGCCCAAUCUGCCUUCUGUCUGUGGUAGUGCAGGAUCUCUUUAAGUCCGUGAGAGAGGCCUCUUGAGUUGCACAUAUGCCCUGAAUAAGUGGUUGGUUUGGUUGAGCCUGCCAACUCCACAGCCCUUAUAGUUACCACUGGACUUUAUCUCUCAAGUAUUAGCAAGUUUGCAAAUGCCAGUAUCUCAUCCCACCUGGCCUCAGGUGAGAUGCUUAGUAAUUGUGAUAUUACACAGCAUAGUCACCUUAAAUGUCCCUUCACCUAAAUCCUAGGGAGUCCUUCCUUGACUCUUCAGUCUAAAACCUCAUAAAAUUCACUAUCCCUACACACUAUUUCUUUUAUAAUAUGUAGAACACUGUAUUUUAUUUUUGUGUCUAAAAUUUAUUGUUUGUACAUCCAGAUAUAAUGAGACCUUUUAAAAUGCAGUGCUAGUUCAAGGCUUGGCACAAAAUGGACUCAAUAAAUA